rnacentral:SRP_RNA from 1 species
GGCCGGGUCGCAUACAACUCAGCGCUGUGAACCCCGUCAGGCCCGGAAGGGAGCAGCGGUAAACAGUACGUUGUUUGUGUAUGGUUCGGCCCGGUCUCU